GGCUCUUCCUGUUUUUAAAAGAUUCAAGGCUCAUGUUGAAGAGGAAGCAGAUGUUUUCCUCAAACGUUUAAGGACUGAUAGAGGUGGUGAGUUCACCUCGAUUGAUUUUGAGGCAUUUUGUGUCCUAAAUUGUGACAAUUAAAACACUCAUCAGUAAAGUUGUUGAUGAGUGGGGCACCAGGACCUAUUCCUGGCAUUUUCCCUAUGAAUGUCCUCAAAGGGAUAUUGGAGCCAACUAUGCCGAACUAAAUGAAGAAGAAGAGCUGUUAUUGAUGUCGUAUGUUGAGCUUAACCAAGCACAAAGAGAAGAGAUUUGGUUCCUUGACUCCGGUUGUAGCAAUCACAUGAGUGGGAAUAAAGAAUGGUUCUCCGAUUUGGAUGUCCACUUCAGGCAAACCGUGAAGCUAGGGGAUAAUUCAAGGAUGUCAGUUAUGGGGAAGGGAAAUAUUCGGAUGCAAGUCAAAGGAAUCACUCAGGUAAUAUCUGAAGUUUAUUACAUACCUGAGCUGAAAAAUAACUUGUUGAGUAUGGGGCAGCUGCAAGAAAAAGGUGUGUCAAUUUUAAUUCAGCAUGGAAAAUGCAAAGUCUUUCAUCCUAGUAAGGGCCUGAUUAUUGAGUCUGAAAUGAGUGCAAACAGAAUGUUUGUUUUGCUUGCAAACAUGAAACCUGAAGUUACUACUUGUUUUCAAGCAGUAACAGAAAUGAGAAUUAUUUGUGGCACCGCAGGUUUGGGCAUUUAAGCUUCAAAGGCUUGAAAACUCUUCAAAACAAAAGGAUGGUGAAUGGUUUGCCUUCACUCACAGAACCUCAAAAGCUGUGCAUUACCUGUUUAGCCGGAAAACAACACAAGGAAGCUAUUCCAAAAAGAAGUCUGUGGAGGGCAACACAAAAACUUCAGUUGGUGCACGCUGAUAUAUGUGGUCCUAUCAAACCUACAUCAAAUAGUAAUAAGAGGUAUUUCCUAAGUUUUAUUGAUGAUUUCAGCCGUAAAACUUGGAUUUAUUUCUUAGAUGAAAAAUCGGAGGCUCUUACUGUUUUUAAAAGAUUCAAGGCUCAUGUUGAAAAGGAAGCAGAUGUUUUCCUUAAAUGUUUAAGGACUGAUAGAGGUGGUGAGUUCACCUCGAUUGAUUUUGAGGCAUUUUGCAAGGAAAAUGGCAUAUCCAGGCAAUUGACAGCAGCUUAUACUCCUCAGCAAAACGGAGUUGCAGAAAGGAAGAAUAGGACUGUGAUGAACAUGGUGCGAUGUAUACUAACAGAGAAGCAAGUUCUAAAGAUCUUUUGGCCAGAAGCAGCUAAGUGGUGUGUGCACGUCCUCAACAGGUGUCCUACCUUAGCCGUGAAAGAUCGAACUCCGGAGGAAGCAUGGAGUGGUGUGAAGCCUACUAUACAACAUUUCAGAGUUUUUGGUUGCUUGGCCCAUGUGCAUGUACCUGACCAGAAGAGAAUCAAGUUAGAUGAUAAAAGCUUCAAAUGUGUUUUGUUGGGAGUAAGUGAUGAGUUGAAGGCUUAUCGGUUGUAUGAUCCCAUUUCUAAAAAGAUAGUUGUUAGCAAGGAUGUCAUUUUUGAGGAGAAUGAAAAAUGGAAUUGGAAUAUGAGCAAAGAGGAAAAGGCCUUGGAUUUGCUGGAUUGGGGAGAUAUUGAGGAAGGAGAUGCAGUAGAAAAUGGAACACCUGGGGUAGAGGAGAACAGAAUAACACAAGCUGAUUCAAGUGGCACAAGCUUAUCAUCUCUUAAUCAAGCAACUGGUUCAUGUAGCAGUACACCGUCAUCUAACGACACAGAUGAUGGGAACUCUCAGAGUCAAGAUUGUUAAGAUUGUUUAAUGAUAUGAUG
rnacentral:lncRNA from 1 species